GACGAACUGCCCAAACGUUGUUCGGAAUUACUGGGCGUAAAGGGCGCGUAGGCGGUGUGUCAAGUCAGGCGUGAAAGCCCCGGGCUCAACCUGGGAACCGCGCUUGAGACUGGCACGCUCGAGUUCGGGAGAGGAUGGUGGAAUUCCCAGUGUAGAGGUGAAAUUCGUAGAUAUUGGGAAGAACACCGAUGGCGAAGGCAGCCAUCUGGACCGACACUGACGCUGAGGCGCGAAAGCGUGGGGAGCAAACAGG
rnacentral:rRNA from 1 species